AACUUUUAGCAACGGAUCGCUUGGCUCUCGCAUCGAUGAAGAACGCAGCGAAAUGCGAUACGUAAUGUGAAUUGCAGAAUUCAGUGAAUCAUCGAAUCUUUGAACGCACCUUGCGCCCCUUGGCAUUCCGAGGGGCACACCCGUUUGGGUGUCGUGAAAUUCUCAAAACCUUUUCCUUUGCCGGAAAGGAUUUUGGCCUUGGAGGCCUUUUGCUGGUUUCACCUCGAAGCGAGCUCCUCCCAAAUGGAUUAGCGGGGUCUGCUUUGCCGAUCCUUGACGUGAUAAGAUGCUUCUACGUCUCGGGUUUUGGCACUGUGCCUCUGCUUCUAACCGUCUCAUUGACAACGAUGGUGUUCCGGUCACCGCCGAUUCGUCGGUGGGAGGCUUGACCCACAAAACGACCUUGACCUCAAAUCGGGUGAGACUACCCGCUGAACUUAAGCAUAUCAAUAAGCGGAGGCU
rnacentral:misc_RNA from 1 species